CAGCCGCCGCGGUAAUACGUAGGUCCCGAGCGUUGUCCGGAUUUAUUGGGCGUAAAGCGAGCGCAGGCGGUUAGAUAAGUCUGAAGUUAAAGGCUGUGGCUUAACCAUAGUACGCUUUGGAAACUGUUUAACUUGAGUGCAAGAGGGGAGAGUGGAAUUCCAUGUGUAGCGGUGAAAUGCGUAGAUGUAUGGAGGAACACCGGUGGCGAAAGCGGCUCUCUGGCUUGUAACUGACGCUGAGGCUCGAAAGCGUGGGGAGCAAACAGGAUUAGAUACCCGCGUAGUCCCUGUCUCUUAUACC
rnacentral:rRNA from 1 species